CCCUGCUAAAUACGCUGAUAUACCUGUAUUAGCAGGGAUAAUGAAAGCAGUGCUUAUCCAGCACUGCUUUUACGAACAUGACGACCAGCAGGAGCCUCUGGGUAAAGCUCAGACUAUCUGCGGGAUUCGUAGUGGCUUUAUCGAAGUCGCUGCAAUUGACUUCUAUAGUCACUAGUUUCCUUACCGGUAGAGGCUCCUUAUCCAAGGGUGACCU
rfam:Oblitimonas alkaliphila strain E5571 chromosome.